GACGAACGCUGGCGGCGUGCUUAACACAUGCAAGUCGAACGGGCCCGCUCUCUUUUUUGGGGGUGGGUUGAGUGGCGAACGGGUGAGUAUCACGUGAGUAACCUGCCCCCUGCUCCUGGAUAACUGCUUGAAAGGGCGGCUAAUACGGGGUGUGCCGGCUGGUCCGCAUGGGCCUGGUCGGGAUAGUUUCAUCUUCGGGUGUUUCGGUGGGGGAUGGGCUCGCGGCCUAUCAGCUUGUUGGUGGGGUGAUGGCCCACCAAGGCGGUGACGGGUAGCCGGCCUGAGAGGGUGGGCGGCCACGCUGGGACUGAGACACGGCCCAGACUCCUGCGGGAGGCAGCAGUGGGGGGUAUUGCGCAAUGGGCGGAAGCCUGAUGCAGCGACGUCGCGUGAGGGAUGGAGGCCUUCGGGUUGUGAACCUCUUUCUCCGGUGGUGAAGGCCCUGUCCGUUGCGGCGGGGUUGACGGUAGCCGGGUAUGAAGCGCCGGCUAACUACGUG
rnacentral:rRNA from 1 species